rnacentral:lncRNA from 15 species
CCUUCGUUGAGAGCAAGGAGAAGAUCAUCCAAUCAUAUCUUUAAUAAUACACUGAGGGAAGGAAAUAACAUUAAAGCUAACUGUCCGCUGUGUGAAGAGGGCGACCUGCCGUUUGUUUGCUGGUCAAAGCGUCAUCAGGGGUAUCAGGUUACGGUAACAGGAAGUGACCUGAUGAGAGGUCACAGGAAGUGACCGUCAUGAUAAAAGUUGAGGUUAAAUCCUCCAAAAUGGUCCCAGUGGUCCCAACAGUAGAAAUGAUGUGAGUGAAUGUGUUGCUACAGAAACAAUGAGACAUUUGUUUGAUCAGUGAUGUUGAACCUGUGUUUGAAAUGCUGUGUGGAACUAAGAUUCAUUCACUGUUACAUUUGAGCAACAGACAGCAGUUCAACACUGAGAUGAGACAUUACUGUGAAGCAGCACAUGGACAGAAAAUCACAACAUGUCCAACAGCUUGAAAACCUGCUUUUAGUUCCUAUAUUUCUGUCCCCUGUUACCUGCUGCUCUCAUCUGGUUCUGUCCUUCAGGGUUCUCUACAACUUUGUAAUCAGUCAAUAAAGUUAUUACAAACUGCUGCUGCUGUCUGUACAGCUGAUGUUGGGGUUUGUUGUUAUCUCAGACUGUCAGGUGGAGGUGGAGGAGGGGGCGGAGUCUGUCCAACUGCCCUUUAAGACCACAGCUAACCUGCCUGAGAUGGCUAAAGUGGAGUGGUGCCGCUAUCAACCUGAUUACAUGACAGUCCAUGUGUAUAAGAACGGUUCUGACCGGCCUGAAAAACAGAACCAGAAUUACAGAGACCGAACUGAGAUGAAGGAAGACCUGCUGAAAACUGGAGACCUCAGUCUGAUCCUGAAAUCCCCCAAAGAGAGAGACACAGGAAGAUACCGCUGCAACGUCAACAAUAAGAAGGAAGACACCAGAUGCAUCCAGAGAGGGAAAUCAGUGCAGCUCACAGUCAGAGGGAGAACCAGGAACAGAAGCAGCUCCAUUGAUCCAACUCCUCUGAUGGCUGAUCGAUCUGUUUGAUUGGUCUGUUGAUCAAUCUUUGAUUAUUGAUCUGAUCUGACUUUGGAUCAGUGAGAAAAUGGAGGUGAAGAAGCUGAUGGACGACAGAUGAAGACAGGAGGACGCUCUGACUCCAUCCGCUAACUAUCUCACACAGUCUACACCCUCACUUCAGUUUUUAUUUCUCCUCUUGUUAUCCGGAGCUGCAGUGAUGGAAGAAGAGAUUAAAAACAUCAGUUCAAAGACACUUUAUUGAAACUGCAGCUUUAAUCUUCAUCAUCAUGUAUUAAGUGUCAGAAAGUGUUAAAAUCUGUUUUCGAACCAGAGUGACACCCGAAAAUCUAUCUGUAUUGAUCUUUAUUACAUGUUACCUUCAUGUGUACUUUGGUCCUUGUCAGGAUCCUGAAGAUGUUAUUGUUUUAGUUUAGUUAUUUCCUUAUGUCUCUUGUGAAACUUCCUGCGUCUGUUUUCCGGCCAGUUUUGAAUAUCUGCCUCGCAACAAAGUCCCUGUGUUGAAAUAAAAUCAUUGAACUGUAGCAGUUCUGCCUCAAGCAGUCUUACAAUCUCUUUGUGUUGCUGAGCUUGCACAAUAUGGACGGUAUACGUUAAUGAAUUAUUACAAUACAUUAAACAUGUGUCACCACAGACGCUCCUCAAUAUUCAAGGAUUCAG